GGGUUGUGAGGUUAAGCGACUAAGCGUACACGGUGGAUGCCCUGGCAGUCAGAGGCGAUGAAGGACGUGCUAAUCUGCGAUAAGCGUCGGUGAGGUGAUAUGAACCGUUAUAACCGGCGAUUUCCGAAUGGGGAAACCCAGUGUGUUUCGACACACUAUCAUUAACUGAAUCCAUAGGUUAAUGAGGCGAACCGGGGGAACUGAAACAUCUAAGUACCCCGAGGAAAAGAAAUCAACCGAGAUUCCCCCAGUAGCGGCGAGCGAACGGGGAGGAGCCCAGAGCCUGAAUCAGUGUGUGUGUUAGUGGAAGCGUCUGGAAAGGCGCGCGAUACAGGGUGACAGCCCCGUACACAAAAAUGCACAUAUUGUGAGCUCGAUGAGUAGGGCGGGACA
rnacentral:rRNA from 1 species